CGCGGUGGUCUGUGCAGAUGGAGCUCCCGGGAAAGCAGUGUGGGUGUGUGGAGAUGAGGGUUUUCGGGGCGCGGUGGUCGGUGCAGAUGGUGGUCCCCAGAGUGCAGUGGGGGUCUGUGGAGAUAAAGGUCCCCGGCCUGCGCUGGGGGUGCGGGCCCUUCUCAGCCUAAGCACUACUGACCCUCGGGGCCGGAUCAUGCAUCUUCGUGGGGCUGCCCUGGGCGGCUGCAGCGCAUUCAUUAGCGGCUCUGGUCUGUGUCCACUAGAUGGCAGUAGGUGCCCACUAAUGGUGAGAAUCCGGACGUCCGCACGCGUCCUGUCCACCGGGGAACUGAAUCACCCCUCACUGAGUGCCCCGGCUAGACAGGGCUGGAGAGAAACCAACAGAUCUGACUGACGGAUGGAUGGAUGCAUACGUAGAUAAUGAGAGAUAACAGAUUAAAUAGGUUCGAGAAAAGAGAUGUCAUACUCUAACCACCUGACGCGAAGAGCUGACUUUUUUGGGAAAGACCUUGAUGCUGGCAAGAGU
rnacentral:lncRNA from 1 species